GAAAACUUUUUUUGCUAUUUUUUAAUGGAAAAGGAACAGUUUCAAUAUUCAGUUUAUCUUCUUUAUCCAGCCUCUUCUUUUUGUGUUGUAGAAAUUCCACAGUGAACACUUAUACUUCAUCCGUUGACUCUAGAUGACACUGAACCUCACGAUAGGAAACUUUCAGUGUGAGAUGGAUCAUCUCGUUUCAAAGAGCAAAGAACUGAUCCCUGAAAAGAUUGAGAGAAGGUGAGCUUCCAUUGAUAAAAACCAGGAAUACAGGUUUUUCAUAU
rnacentral:lncRNA from 1 species